rnacentral:rRNA from 1 species
UACGGGGGGGGCAAGCGUUGUUCGGAAUUACUGGGCGUAAAGGGCUCGUAGGCGGCCAACUAAGUCGGACGUGAAAUCCCUCGGCUUAACCGGGGAACUGCGUUCGAUACUGGAUGGCUUGAGUUCGGGAGAGGGAUGCGGAAUUCCAGGUGUAGCGGUGAAAUGCGCAGAUAUCGGGAAGAACACCCGUGGCGAAGGCGGUUCUCUGGGACGGUACUGACGCUGAGACGCGAAAGCGUGGGGAGCGAACAGG